UACGUAGGGGGGCAAGCGUUGUCCGGAUUUAUUGGGCGUAAAGAGCGUGUAGGCGGCUUUACAGGUCCGUUGUGAAAACUCGAGGCUCAACCUCGAGACGCCGGUGGAAACCGUAAAGCUAGAGUCCGGAAGAGGAGAGUGGAAUUCCUGGUGUAGCGGUGAAAUACGCAGAUAUCAGGAGGAACACCCGUGGCGAAAGCGGCUCUCUGGGACGGUACUGACGCUGAGACGCGAAAGCGUGGGGAGCAAACAGG
rnacentral:rRNA from 1 species